UUAUUGCAAGCAAAAGUACAAUGUUGUGUAGGGAGUAUAGAUAUAGAUUGUAGUUUUAAGCGCAGAAAUUACUAUCAGCGUCAGAUGGAUUACUUCUCCGGCUAGGCGUUAUGACGUUUUUGAACUCUUGGGUGACAUCUAGCGGUUUGUGUUUUAUGCAAAUGUGAAGAUUGAGACUUUUGAGAUAAACGGAUUCGUGCAACGAUGAAGUUAGCUGUUGUAUUUACUUUGAUAAUGGUGAUAGUGACAAUGUGCGAUGGACAACCUGGAUGUCCAUCUCCGCUAAACUGCAGGAACCGUCCACUACGAUGCAAGGCAUACCAGCAACAUGUAUGUAACCCACCCCCCUGUUCAGUAACUUUGUGUCCUAAUGCACCAACUGGGUCAACGUGUAUCAACAACAACUGUUGCGGGUGCUUUGCAGAUUAUUAUGCUCCUGGUGGAACGCAAUGGUUCCAUAGAAUAUCAUGCACUGAGUGCGAACAACCAUGAGUGUGACGUCACAGAGGAUUAUGGGUGUUACGUCACAGAAUCAAUUGUUGUCAAUUGUACAACGUUUUAUGAAAUAAAAUUUGCACCCAA